CAGAAGGCGAGUUGGCAGGCAGAGCUCUCCCUGAGUGAGCCAUGCAGAUCUGCUCCCUCGUCCAUCUCUCCCUCUUCUGUGCAGGAGUAAUGCCAGCCAUUGUGUUGGUGCCUGAAAACCAAGCAGUGACUGUGCCCGCAGGGGGGUCUACCACCCUCAGGUGCUCCAUGGAAGGAGCACCAAUCGAUCACUACUACAUAAACUGGUACAGGAAGACCCAGGACAACACACUGACUUUCAUAUACCGAGAAUCGAACAUCUAUGGCCCUGGUUUCCAGGGCGGUUUCCAGGGUGGUAAUGAUUUUGACAAAAAGCAGGCUUUCCUGAGGAUUCUUAAGGCAUCAGAGAGUGAUGAAGGAUUUUACUACUGUGCCUGUGACUCCCACCCUGCUGCAGUGCUGUGUUAUGACAAGCUCAUCUUUGGACAAGGAACCCAUCUGACCGUGGAACCAAGAAGUCAGCCUACUACCAAACCAUCUGUUUUUGUCAUGAAAAAUGGAACAAAUGUCGCUUGUCUGGUGAAGGACUUCUACCCUAAGAAUGUGAAUAUAAAUCUCCAAUCAUCCAAGAAGAUAAAAGAAUUUGACCCUGCUAUUGUCAUCACUCCCAGUGGGAAGUACAGUGCUGUCAAGCUUGGUCGGUAUGAAGAUUCAAAUUCAGUGACAUGUUCAGUUCAGCAUAAUGAUGAAAUAGUGCACUCCACAGACUUUGAAGUGAAGACGAAUUCUUCAGAUAAUAUAAACCCAACGGAACCAGAGAAGCCUCUAACGAUUCAAACUACAGAGAGCUGCCACAAACCCAAAGCCAUAGUUCGUACCGAGAAGGUGAACAUGGUGUCCCUCACAGUGCUGGGGCUACGAAUGCUGUUUGCCAAGAGUGUUGCUGUCAAUUUCCUCCUGACUGCCAAGCUAUUUUUCUCUUAAGGCUGACUGGCAUGAGGAGGCCACAUUCCGUGGAAGAAGCCAAAAGUGUACAAAUGUGCUUUCUCCUGGGCUUCCCACUUCUGAUUCCAGCUGACCUGUCACAGCCUUGUUUGAAUGGCUAAACCAGUUUGUCUUUGAAGGCAACAAACCCAGCUCGUCUGCCAGCCUGGUAGAAAGACAAAAGUCCCGGAGAUGGGGAUUUCUGGUCCUAACCUAUUUAGAUGUUGCUUUAUAAAGAAUAGAGGGAUAUAAAGGGAUAUAGGACUCUUUUUUUUACUACAACGGAUACACUUUGAAAAUGGUAUUUCAUUCCUUUUGACUUUCUUUACCUUCAGAAGUAGACAGUGGGAACCAACAGGCUCCAAGCUCUGUUCUCUUUGAGGAAAACAGGUCCUGGGGGAAGGAGGGCAGGUGUCCUUUUACCUAAGCAGGGAAGCCUCUGCUCAACCAAGCCAAGAUUUGCCCCACACCGGCAUCCACCUCUGCCCACCCCUGUCCUACCCUCUGUAUUCACUUCCACAGCCACACUAGACAGUUUGCAUGACGAGGGAAGGGGACAAAGUUUCAGCACUUUCUGCUUUUCCAGUACUUUACAAACAAAUUUACAUUUGGAUUCCCUAAUACUCUUUGAGCAGGCAACGGGGUUUCUAAAAUUUCAUCUCAAUUCUCUCCAAUCUAUUAGCAAAGAUCAGAGUGAAAUACAGAGGAAAGGUACUUCUUUCUGUUAAUUAAUUUAAUAUAUGUGAAUUGACUUUCUCUAAGUUCCAGGCACUGUAGUGAGAGUACAAAAAAAACACUGGCCCUGCUUUCAAGCAAGUGUUUUUGGAGGGAGGGAUAGUAAUGAGACCCUUAUCUUUUCCCUAUAAAAACAAUAUUUUUACUGUCUUUUGCCUGUCAGUCUGUGAACAGGGAGUUUGAGAUCUCUGGGCACUGAUUCUUUUGCCUGAGCCUUUGGUGUUGGUGGUUUUCUGCUUUUCUUCUCAGCCCCUGUCUCUGUUGCAUUUAUUAAACUGUAUUUUAUGCACCUCACCUCUGGCUUUAUUCGCUGUGGGCCACUGCAGGGGGAAACAGCGCUCUGUGAACUCAGUAUUAGUCAGCUGAAAGCCAAACUGAGCUUAUAGGUCACACCGCAGCUUCCUGUACCCCAAGCCUACAAAGCCCCUGCCUUGGGGACCCAGCCCUGGGUUUCCGGCUGCUGCUGCUGCUACAGCAAUAACAACAGCAAGCACCCUCGGUGUGGCUAACGAGUUCUGCAACCCCCACCUCAGGAAAGCCACAGCUUUUUCCAGGUGCACUCACUCAGGUAGCAGAGCCCGAGCAGCCCAUUAUUGUGGUUUCCUCAGCACCUACGUGGAAUGUCAAGUGGGGGGUUAGGAGGUCACAGGUGAAAGAGCAAACAUCACCAACAACCCCACUGGCCAUCACCAACUGUAAACUCCCACAUCACGUCUUUGCAGCCCAACAAAAGAAAGGGGCAAUAGCACUGAGUCAGUGGGUUGAGGACAAUCUGCUAUUGGAUAAGCCAGGCCCAGCCAAAGAUCAACAAUUAAAAGAUUCCCACAACUUCAUCUUGUAUGUGUAAAGAAUGCCUGUUUCUAAAACAUUCACAUCCCUUACCGUGGGUAACGGAUGUUCCUCUGAAGUUGCUAGGAAUGAAAAGAUCACAUUUUCAUUUCAGAUGGAAAAAAGCAUGCCCUCCACACCCCCCAAAAAAGUAUGUACCUUGUCCAAAGUCAUUCUAUGAGGCAGGGAUAUUUCUUGGAGCAGAACCCAGGUCUCAAGACUGUCAGCCCAACACAGAGUGGUAUCAUGGACAUUGGAGACUCACAAGGGGGCGGGGGGAAUACCUGUGGGUCACAAUGUACACUACUCAGGUAAU